GGCCCUACGGGACGCAGCAGUGAGGAAUAUUGGUCAAUGGGAGGAAUCCUGAACCAGCCAUGCCGCGUGCAGGACGACGGCUCUACGAGUUGUAAACUGCUUUUGUACCGGGGUAAAAUGCCUUACGAGUAGGGUUUUGAAAGUACGGUACGAAUAAGGAUCGGCUAACUCCGUGCCAGCAGCCGCGGUAAUACGGAGGAUCCGAGCGUUAUCCGGAUUUAUUGGGUUUAAAGGGUGCGCAGGCGGGAGAUCAAGUCAGCGGUAAAAUGUCGGGGCUCAACCCCGGCCGGCCGUUGAAACUGGUU
rnacentral:rRNA from 1 species